CCUACGGGAGGCAGCAGUAGGGAAUCUUCCACAAUGGGCGCAAGCCUGAUGGAGCAACACCGCGUGAGUGAAGAAGGGUUUCGGCUCGUAAAGCUCUGUUGUUGGAGAAGAACGUGCGUGAGAGUAACUGUUCACGCAGUGACGGUAUCCAACCAGAAAGUCUCGGCUAACUACGUGCCAGCAGCCGCGGUAAUACGUAGGUGGCAAGAGUUAUCCGGAUUUAUUGGGCGUAAGGGGAGCGAAGGCGGUUGCUUAGGUCUGAUGUGAAAGCCUUCGGCUUAACCGAAGAAGUGCAUGGGAAACCGGGAAACUUGAGUGCAGAAGAGGACAGUGGAACUCCAUGUGUAGCGGUGGAAUGCGUAGAUAUAUGGAAGAACACCAGUGGCGAAGGCGGCUGUCUGGUCUGCAACUGACGCUGAGGCUCGAAAGCAUGGGUAGCGAACAGGAUUAGAUACCCGUGUAGUC
rnacentral:rRNA from 1 species